CCUGCCUCGGUCCCAGGAAGAAAAAGUUUGUGGCCGUGCACAGUUACAGCAAGAAAAGACGGUCCCAAGGAGCAACUGUGCGGAAAGGGAGCGAACGAGCGAACUUUCCUCUCCUGCUUUCCCGGGAAAGGGGGAACGGCGCGGCAUCUGCGAGGUCUCUCUCCCCCUACGGGGCCCCUCAACAAAUGGCAUCCGAAGGAUUUAGACAGCUAAAACUGUUUUUGAGGGGGUGGGGGGGUCCCCCAGGGCGCUCACGGCACUGGCAGAGGAAAACACGGCCGGAGAGCCCGGUCCGUUCCUGGCGUGUGCUCCAAGGAGUCUGUUCCCCAUCUCCAACCAUUCUAACCGCGGAGUCAAGUCUGAACAAAGCAAAGUGGGGAAAACAAUCCCGCAGCCCUGCAGGCAAAACGCUUUAGAAGCAAAAGAGGGCGGGAGGGCGGGAGGGAGCCGAGCUGACACCCGGCGCGGACGGCGCGCUCCGCCUGGCUUACCUGCGUGGCUCUGGGCAGCGGCACACAGGAGGCAGAAGGCGACGCUCCAGGGCUGCGGCAGGGCUGACAGCGCCCGAGCCCUCCGUUUCCACCUCGUAGACUUGCACAUACAUGGUGGUGGACAUGGGAAUUGUAAAGAGAAAGCCAGAAAGAAAUGGACUGUGGAAAAAUUCAGUUGAAGCAAGAAACGCCCCGUCAAUUACAGCUUGAACUGUGAUCUGAGGUCAGAGAUAAAAUCACACCAUCCCAGGAGUUCUUAAGAGAGAAGACAAAGGAAACCCUGUCCCAGCAUCUGUAAUGAAAUCGUCUCCUCCGGAGUCAGCAGGUGGCAACUGAAGUGGCAACAGAGAGAAACCUCCUGGCUUGGGUCAAGGUGGGCUUUGGUUCCGGGGGUUCUGUAUCCCCUCUGGCACCAAUUCGGGUGCCUUUCCCCCACCCCUCUGCCUCCCCACAUCAGCAGUUUCACGAAAGGUGGAGACGACCUAGAUCGUGACUUAUUUUUAUAAGACUUAUCUUUAUCAUUUUUAAAUCCUGCCUGCCUCUCCAACCUGGAGGCGGUACCUAGGCAAGCCAUUCUAGCAGCCUGUCCUCCAUUUGAGUUGGAAGGGUGGGUGUAGCUCCUUGCCCCAUGCAGGAAUCCAAAUAGAAGCACCUCCAGAAACACACCCAGAGCAGGAAAGGCCGACACCAGCCCCGUUCAGCUGAAAUCAGUUUUGUUCUAUUAUUUUAUAAACUGUAUUGCUAAAGCGUACGGCUGAAAUCUGUCUUUUGUAACUUAAGCCUAUUAUUCUCUGCUGUGUGCCCUGGGAUAACAG
rnacentral:lncRNA from 1 species